GUGGGGAAUAUUGGGCAAUGGGCGAAAGCCUGACCCAGCAACGCCGCGUGAGGGAAGAAGGCCUUCGGGUUGUAAACCUCUGUCCUUGGUGACGAAAAAAAUGACGGUAGCCAAGGAGGAAGCCCCGGCUAACUACGUGCCAGCAGCCGCGGUAAUACGUAGGGGGCGAGCGUUGUCCGGAAUUACUGGGCGUAAAGGGUGCGUAGGUGGCCUUUUAAGUUGGAUGUGAAAUACCCGGGCUUAACUUGGGGGGUGCAUCGAAUACUGGAGGGCUAGAGUGCAGGAGAGGGAAGCGGAAUUCCUAGUGUAGCGGUGAAAUGCGUAGAUAUUAGGAGGAACACCAGUGGCGAAGGCGGCUUUCUGGACUGUAACUGACACUGAGGCACGAAAGCGUGGGGAGCAAACAGGAUUAGAAACCCGGGUAGUCC
rnacentral:rRNA from 1 species